UGGGGAAUAUUGGACAAUGGGCGCAAGCCUGAUCCAGCAUGCCGCGUGGGUGAAGAAGGCCUUCGGGUUGUAAAGCCCUUUUGUUGGGAAAGAAAAGCAGUCGGUUAAUACCCGAUUGUUCUGACGGUACCCAAAGAAUAAGCACCGGCUAACUUCGUGCCAGCAGCCGCGGUAAUACGAAGGGUGCAAGCGCUACUCGGAAUUACUGGGCGUAAAGCGUGCGUAGGUGGUUUGUUAAGUCUGAUGUGAAAGCCCUGGGCUCAACCUGGGAAUUGCAUUGGAUACUGGCAGGCUAGAGUGCGGUAGAGGGUAGUGGAAUUCCCGGUGUAGCAGUGAAAUGCGUAGAGAUCGGGAGGAACAUCCGUGGCGAAGGCGACUACCUGGACCAGCACUGACACUGAGGCACGAAAGCGUGGGGGAGCAAACAGGAUUAGAUACCCUGGUAGUCCACGCCCUAAACGAUGCGGACUGGAUGUUGGGUUCAAUUAGGAACUCAGUAUCGAAGCUAACGCGUUAAGUUCGCCGCCUGGGGAGUACGGUCGCAAGACUGAAACUUAAAUGAAUU
rnacentral:rRNA from 1 species